UGUUUCCAAAAAUAUCCAGUUUGCAAACUUAUUUGAUCAAAGGCGAAAACAUUGUAUCACAAGCAUCGUCAGUAUUACAUGCAAUUAUAAACAUUUGUAGAGGGCAGGAAUUGUUUUGGUUUAAAGGGAAAUAAAAACAAAAUACUAGAGUUCGGGAGAGGACAAAUGAUAAAAAUACAUAGUAUAA